UGGUAUUCUAGAGCUAAUACAUGCUAAAAACCUCGACUUCGGAAGGGGUGUAUUUAUUAGAUAAAAAACCAAUGCCCUUCGGGGCUCCCUGGUGAUUCAUAAUAACUUAACGAAUCGCAUGGCCUUGCGCCGGCGAUGGUUCAUUCAAAUUUCUGCCCUAUCAACUUUCGAUGUUACGGUAGUGGCGUAACAUGGUGUCUACGGGUAACGGGGAAUUAGGGUUCGACUCCGGAGAGGGAGCCUGAGAAACGGCUACCACAUCCAAGGAAGGCAGCAGGCGCGCAAAUUACCCAAUCCCGACACGGGGAGGUAGUGACAAUAAAUACUGAUACAGGGUUCUUUCGGAUCUUGUAAUUGGAAUGAGUACAAUUUAAAUCCCUUAACGAGGAACAAUUGGAGGGCAAGUCUGGUGCCAGCAGCCGCGGUAAUUCCAGCUCCAAUAGCGUAUAUUAAAGUUGUUGCAGUUAAAAAGCUCGUAGUUGAAACUUGGGCCUGGCUGUCCGGUCCGCCUCACCGCGUGCACUGGUUCGGCCGGGCCUUUCCUUCUGGGGAACUGCAUGCCCUUCAUUGGGUGUGUCGGGGAUCCAGGACUUUUACUUUGAAAAAAUUAGAGUGUUCAAAGCAGGCAUAUGCUCGAAUACAUUAGCAUGGAAUAAUAGAAUAGGACGUGUGGUUCUAUUUUGUUGGUUUCUAGGACCGCCGUAAUGAUUAAUAGGGAUAGUCGGGGUCAUCUGUAUUCGCCAGCAAGAGGUGAAAUUCUUGGAUUUGGUGAAGACAAACUACUGCGAAAGCAUUUGACAAGGAUGUUUUCAUUAAUCAGUGAACGAAAGUUAGGGGAUCGAAGACGAUCAGAUACCGUCGUAGUCUUAACCAUAAACUAUGCCGACUAGGGAUCGGACGGUGUUAUUAUUUUGACCCGUUCGGCACCUUACGAGAAAUCAAAGUUUUUGGGUUCUGGGGGGAGUAUGGUCGCAAGGCUGNAACUUAAAGACAUCGACGGAAGGGCACCACCAGGCGUGGAGCCUGCGGCUUAAUUUGACUCAACACGGGGAAACUCACCAGGUCCAGACACAAUAAGGAUUGACAGAUUGAGAGCUCUUUCUUGAUUUUGUGGGUGGU
rnacentral:rRNA from 1 species